CUCACCGCAACCUCUGCCUCUGGGGUUCAAGCGAUUCUCAUGCCUCAGCCUCCCGUUUUCUUAAUAUUUCUUUCCCUACUAAAUAGUAAUUCACGCUAUUAAUACUAUUGACCUUAUUAUUAAGGACAAGACAACGCUGUUACCCUCACAACCCCCACAGCACAAUACCUUGUAUCUACUAUGUGUUCAACAAAUAUUUGUCUAAUAAAUUGAUUAGAAGGAUCCUUCUAAAUGAUAAUAAAGUAAAUACAGAACGUCACACUAUAGAUGUCAUUCCCAUUGCCAGUACCCUUUCAUCAUGGUGACAAAAUCAGCUGUCCUGGAGCGUCUGAGCAUGAGGAGUGGGAGAGGAAAUAUUGCUGAAGCCUCACGAGUUGGCGAACAAGAGCAUCCCCUUCCAGAAGGGCAUCAAGAAUGACAUCUCUUAGUGAUGGCUGUGUUUAACAACCAACUCCCAGAAUUCCUGAAAAGUUGACAGCCUCUGGAGGCCGUGUGAGACAGGUCCUGCAAAUCCCCGUGACAAGCAGAGACACUGCAUAUCCUGGGGAGGGUCCCGGGAGCUGGGGGCAGGAUUCUGCAGGUCAGCAAGCCCCUCCAGCACUUCUCUCACACGCUGAGGCUUGUGAGUUUGAGAACUGGACCAUCUGGCUUUGCUGCCUGGAGCACAGGUCUGAGACCCCUCGGAAUCCUCAGCCAAGCCCAGCCACACCGCUGAUGCCCAGCCACACCGCUGAUGCCCAGGCACACUGCAGAUACCCAGCCACACCGCUGAUGCCCAGCCACACUGCAGAUGCCCAGUCACACCGCUGAUGCCCAGCCACACCACUGAUGCCCAGUGCCCAGGCACACCGCAGAUGCCCAGCCACACCACUGAUGCCCAGCCACACUGCUGAUACCCAGCCACACUGCAGAUGCCCAGGCACACCACUGAUGCCUAGCCACACUGCUGAUGCCCAGCCACACCGCUGAUGCCCAGGCACACUGCUGAUGCCCAGUGCCCAGGCACACCGCUGAUGCCCAGGCACACUGCUGAUGCCCAGCCACACUGCAGAUGCCCAGCCACACCGCUGAUGUGCAGUCACACCACUGAUGCCCAGCGCCCAGGCACACCACUGAUGCCCAGCCACACUGCAGAUGCCCAGCCACACCGCUGAUGCGUAGCCACACUGCUGAUGCCCAGCGCCCAGGCACACCGCUGAUGUGCAGCCACACCACUGAUGCCCAAGCACACCGCAGAUGCCCAGCCACACCGCUGAUGCCCAGGCACACCACUGAUGCCCAGCCUUCAGGCCAUGGAGGAGGCAGAAGAGCAAGCUGGUCUGGAUUUUGCCAACCCACCUCCGGUGGUGCCUACCUCUUGAUUUUUGCUGUUUCACUCAAGUGACUUGUCUGAAAUAUAGAGUGGUCCCUUAUGUCUUUCUGUUCCAAUCCUCCAAACACUACCAGCUUGGCCUACAGACAUUUAGGAUGUGGUGGUUAAAAAUAUAUAUUGCUUUUAGAUUUAUGGCACUUACCAGUUACUUGAAUUGAUGUAUUUAAUUUUGUCAUUACCAGCCAAUCUAUUAGUUGAAUGCUCCUGAAGCUUUCAUCAAAGCAUUUGGGGAAAGAAAAAAGAAUUUU